rnacentral:rRNA from 1 species
CAAGUCGAACGGGGUGAGGGGGCAACUCUUCAUUCAGUGGCGAACGGGUGAGUAAUGCAUCGGAACGUGUCCCGUAGUGGGGGAUAACCCGGCGAAAGCCGUGCUAAUACCGCAUACGCUCUACGGAGGAAAGCAGGGGACCCGCAAGGGCCUUGUGCUAGGGGGGCGGCCGAUGUCCGAUUAGCUUGUUGGUGGGGUAAUGGCCCACCAAGGCUGCGAUCGGUAGCUGGUCUGAGAGGAUGAUCAGCCACACUGGGACUGAGACACGGCCCAGACUCCUACGGGAGGCAGCAGUGGGGAAUUUUGGACAAUGGGGGCAACCCUGAUCCAGCCAUGCCGCGUGCGGGAAGAAGGCCUUCGGGUUGUAAACCGCUUUUAGCCGGGACGAAAGCUCCACUCCUAAUAGGGGUGGGGGUUGACGGUACCGGCGGAAUAAGCACCGGCUAACUACGUGCCAGCAGCCGCGGUAAUACGUAGGGUGCGAGCGUUAAUCGGAAUUACUGGGCGUAAAGCGUGCGCAGGCGGUUCGUUGUGUCGGCGGUGAAAGCCCCGGGCUCAACCUGGGAAUGGCCGUUGAAACUGGCGAACUGGAGUGUGGCAGAGGGGGGUGGAAUUCCGC